rnacentral:rRNA from 1 species
CCUACGGGGGGCAGCAGUGAGGAAUAUUGGUCAAUGGGCGCGAGUCUGAACCAGCCAUGUCGCGUGAGGGAAGACGGCCCUAUGGAUUGUAAACUUCUUUUGUACGGGGGUAAAAGCCGCUACGCGUGUCGUUCUGAGAGUAUCCGACGAAUAAGGAUCGGCUAACUCCGUGCCAGCAGCCGCGGUAAUACGGAGGAUGCGAGCGUUAUCCGGAUUUAUUGGGUUUAAGGGGUGCGUAGGCGGAGGAUAAAGUUAGCGGUAAAAUCCGGAGGCUCAACCUCGUCGUGCCGUUGAUACUGGUUGUCUUGAGAGUACGAGAGGUAGGCGGAAUGCAUGGUGUAGCGGUGAAAUGCAUAGAGAUCACACAGAACACCGAUUGCGAAGGCAGCAUACC